UACGUAGGGUGCGAGCGUUAAUCGGAAUUACUGGGCGUAAAGCGUGCGCAGGCGGUUUUGUAAGCCAGAUGUGAAAUCCCCGGGCUUAACCUGGGAAUGGCAUUUGGGACUGCAAGGCUGGAGUGCGGCAGAGGAGACUGGAAUUCCUGGUGUAGCAGUGAAAUGCGUAGAUAUCAGGAGGAAUACCGAUGGCGAAGGCAGGUCUCUGGGCUGACACUGACGCUGAGGCACGAAAGCGUGGGGAGCAAACAGGA
rnacentral:rRNA from 1 species